CCUACGGGUGGCAGCAGUGGGGAAUAUUGCACAAUGGGGGAAACCCUGAUGCAGCGACGCCGCGUGAGUGAAGAAGUAAUUCGGUACGUAAAGCUCUAUCAGCAGGGAAGAAAAUGACGGUACCUAAGUAACAAGCACCUGCUAACUACGUGCCAGCAGCCGCGGUAUUACGGAGGGGGCAAGCGUUAUCCGGAUUUACUGGGUGUAAAGGGAGCGUAGACGGUAUGGCAAGUCUGAAGUGAAAGCCCAGGGCUUAACCCUGGGACUGCUUUGGAAACUGGUAGACUAGAGUGCUGGAGAGGUAAGUGGAAUUCCUGGUGUAGCAGUGAAAUGCGUAGAUAUUAGGAGGAACACCAGUGGCGAAGGCGGCUUACUGGACAGUAACUGACGUUGAGGCGCGAAAGCGUGGGGAGCAAACAGGAUUAGAUACCCGAGUAGUC
rnacentral:rRNA from 1 species